rnacentral:lncRNA from 1 species
UUUUUUUUUUUUUUUUCCGUGUUUUUCGAGUCAGGGUUUCUCUGUGUAGCCCUGGCUGUCCUGGAACUCACUCUAUAGACCAGGCUGGCCUCGAACUCAGAAAUCCGCCUGCCUCUGCCUCCUGAGUGCUGGGAUUAAAGGCAUGCGCUACUACGCCUGGCUCUUUUUUACUGAUUUUUUUUUUCUAGUUCUGAGCUUUUUAAAUUUUUUUAUUUUUUGGUUUUUCAAGACAAGGCUUCUUUAUGUAGCCCUGGCUGUCCUGGAACUUGCUCUGUAGACCAGGCUGGCCUCAAACUCAGAGAUCUGCCUGCUUUUGUCUCCUAGGUGCUGGGAUUAAAGGUGUUUCACCACCACUGGCUAGCAGUUCUGAGCAUUAUUUUAAAGGAAAAACAAACAAAACAAAUGAAUUUGUUAGGAUGUUGGAAAGAAAAGCAUUCUAGACAGAAUCAUAGCACUUCCAGGAGCAUGCAUGGGAAAUUUAACUUCUAACUGCAGCUGAGGAAGGCUAAAAAGAAAUGAGAAAGUGGGUAGUAGUCAUGAGAAUUUUUAGUCUAACAUUGAGUUAAGCUCAUUUGAGACUGGCUUCAAAAUCAUGGUGGGCCUCUUACUUCAGCCCCGUGACUGCUGGGAUUAUAGGUGUGAUUCACAGUUUAAAGAUACUUAUUUGUAAAGAGAUUGUUAUGAUUCUUUCUAAAAAGAAAUUUAAGAACUCCAUCCAUAUGACUCUAUAAACCGAGGUGUAACUGUUCAUCGAGAUCUAUACAGUGAGGGACUUCUUAAAUGUGCAGGUGCCUUUCAGAGGCAGAAAGGACGGCUCCAUGUUAAUUGUCUUUAAGAACCUACUGCAAACCCUUGGUAGGUUUCAUUUGUGUGUGUGUUUGUGUUUUAUGUGAGGUAGGUUUCAAUGUAUGUGCAUUUUGUUUGGGAAACACUUCGCUAGCAAACACUUCCUAACCUGGGCAAUAUCACAGAAUGCAGAGAAGAAUGUGAAGGUUUGUGGAGUUAGACUUUGUUGUUCAGACUCAAAAGUCCUUUUCUGGAAUAAUCCUAAUGUUGUUAACAGCCAAGUGCUGCACUUGCAGUCUGUUGGAACAGUUGGUGGCACAUCCUUCAUAAGGCUGUUCUUAGAGUGUAGGAGUUAAAAAUAUGUCCACAGCAGUAAUGUCCUGACUGAACAUAUGCAUCCUACUGUUAGAGAAGGGCACUGAGGCACCUGCCAGUCACUCCUUCCAUUUUUAUUCUAGGAACUACAAUGAGGGGAGGAUUGUGGGAGAGCAGAGGUCUUCGGUGAACAUUCUCAGUUAUCUGUUACUGUAGUUCUUCAGUCUAAUAGAUGGUGGCAAUUUAAUGAUCUGAAAUUCCAUAUAUCCAAGGCAGUGUGAGAACUAUAUAAUAUGUAAUAAAUCUGAAGACUCAGUGUAGCUCUUCCAAAUAAUCAAAGUGUGACCUCAGACUCUCUGUAGAGUACUCUAGCCCAGUAAUCACAAUUACAUUAAUUCAGUCCCUUCAUGUGAAAGGAUCAUUUUUAUUGCUACUACCUGAAAAGUGCAAAUUGCCUUCGCUCUUGAAUGUGAGCUGCUUAGCUUCCUUCUUUUAAAUACAUCUCCCACUUAAAGUAUUAAUGUCACCUAUAAAUGUGUAAUUCAAAUUGUCAUUGACUUGAACUCUUCAAAGAUUUGAGCAAUAUCGUAUUACCUUGAGAAACAAGGUAUAACCUGUCAUUGAAGAACGACACACGAGUACUAGGUGUUUUAGUGAACAGCUUUCACAGUGAUGAGAACGUACAGAGACGAGAAUAUGAUCACAGGCUAGAAAAGAGCUCUAUAUAGUUUACUGAGUUGACUAAGCUCUCUGAAGUUCCUUUUUCUCCUGAGAUUCGCCUUAUAGUGAAUUCACCUUCUUCCUGAUUAUUGUUAGGCCUGAAGCUUGGGGAAUGGAGAGAUGAGUCAGUGGGUAAAGGUGCUUGUCACCAAGUCUGAUGGUCUGAAUUCAGGUCCUACCUCUGUGCAGAGAGUAAUACUCACACAUGUGUGCAUGUGUGUGGGCACGUACAUACAAUAAAUUAAAAUGUAAUAAGAUAUUUUGUUCAAGAAAACGAUGAAACUUAGAGGACUACAUUUGGUACAAAUGAGGGCUGUUGCUGUGGACAUUAGACACAGGUUGUUGAACACAUUUCUGCCAAAAGACAAGGAAUUUUGCUCCAUCCGUAUAAGGCUAAAACAUGACAGACAUUCUACUAAAAUUGAGUAAAUAAGUAACUGAGAGAAAAUAAUUUACUUUGUUAAGUUUUUAAUAAACUGUCUGUCAACUCUCAGUGGGACUUAACAAAAUAUUGAAAAUAUUUGGAUUUCAUUAUUUCUUGGCCAAGUAGCAUUAUAUUAUGUAAAUAUACAUAUAUAUGUAUGUAUAUGUGUGUGUAUAUAUAUAUAUAUAUAUAUAUAUAUAUAUAUAUGUAACUUAUUCAUUCAUCCCUUGAAAAACAUCUAGAUUAAUUUCAUAUUUGGACUAUUUUGACUAGUGCUAUGAUAAAUAUGGGGGUAUUUGUUUUAUUACUAUAAAUAUUUCAUCCCUUUUGGGUGUAUGCUCAGUAGUAGAAUUGCUGGAUCGUAUGGUAGCUCUGUCUAAGUUUUUGGGAAACCUCAGUACUGUUUUCCAUAAUGGCUGCAUGGAUUCUCGCGCCUAGCAGCAGUGUGUAAGGUUCUCUUUCUCUAGGCCCUUGCCUGUGUUUGCUCUUUCCUACCCUUUUGAUAACAGCGUUCUCACUGGGGUGAGGUGAUGUUUUGGUGUGGUUCUCAUCUGCAUUUCUCUGACAGUUGGUGAGAGCGAGCGUCUUGACAGCGGUGCAUGUUCAGAAUGAAAAGAAGAGCACGUUCUGCGAAUUCAUCUGCACAGUAACUUCAUGAGGGAGGUCCUUUGUAAAGGAAGUUUAUUAAGUAACUUCAAGGUCACAGUGCUGAGAAGUGGAAGCAGCAUUUAGGCACAGGCUGCCAAGCUGCGAGUCUGUGCUAUUCAUUCUUAUUCCAGGUGCAUAGCAAUUGUGCUUUGCACGCACGCAUUGGAUACUAUAUUCAAUAUUCUUCUGAUUAUAUAUCACUUUGAUAUUCAGAAUCUGGACAUUUUUACUCUUGAGCAGUUUCUGAAAAGGUGAUAAGUUAGAUGUCAAACCUAUAAUUAUAAUUUCCUGGGUUAUUGAAGCAUGGCUGUUGAAGGUAACUUUUGUUUUAACGAUGAUUGCCAUUGUUAUUAAACUUUUAUUCACUUUCUCUAGGGUAUUUGAAUAACAAAAUAGCUGUACUUGUCCAAACUCCAAAAUGUCUGUGUGACUGUGUAAGAGAAAGAAGCUUUGUUCCAGAGCAAGCAUGUUUAUUUAUAGCGUCUAUAAUGUGGCCUGUUUCUUUUUCAGUCUUAUAAGCUUAAUAAAACUGAAACUUAAGCUUUUUUCUUCCUUUUUUGCUUCUUUUUUUCUUUCUUUUUUUCCCCUCCCCCCUCCUUCCUUCCCUCCCUCCCUCCCUCUUUUUUUUUCUGUUAUUGUUUUUCUUUUUUCUGUUUUUUUUUCUAGAUAUUUUAUUUACAUUUCAAAUGUUAUCCCGUUUCCUGGUUUCUCCCCCCCCCCCUCCCCCUGCUCACCAACCCACCCACUCCCACUUCCUGGCCCUGGCAUUCCCCUAUACUGGGGCAUAGAGCCUUCACAGGACUAAGGGCCUCUCCUCCCAUUGAUGAACAACUAGGCCAACCUCUGCUACAAAUAUAGCUAGAGCCACAAGUUCCACCAUGUGUUUUCUUUGGUUGGUGGUUUAUUCCUUGGGAGCUCUGGGGGUAGUGGAUAGGUCAUAUUGUUGUUUCUCCUAUGGAACUGUAAACCCCUUCAGCUCCUUGGGUCCUUUCUCUAGCUCCUCCAUUGAGGACCCUGUGAUCUGUCCAAUGGUAGGCUUCGAGCAUCCACCUCUGUAUUUGUCAGGUACUGGUGGAGCCUCUCAGGAGACAGCUAUAGCAGGCUUCUGUCAGCAAGCACGUGUUGGCAUCCACAAAAGUGUCUGGGUUUGGUGAUUGUAUAUGGGAUGGAUUCCCCAGGUUGGGCAUUCUCUGGAUUGUCAUUUCUUCAGUUUUUCCAGACAGGGUUUCUCUGUGUGUGUAUCCUUGGCUGCUCUGUAGGUCAGGCUGGCCUCAAACUCAUAGAGAUCUGCCUGCCUCUGCCUCCCAAGUGCUAGGAUUAAAGGUGUGCGCCACCACUGCCAGGUGAAACUUAAGCUUUUUAAUAAUAAAAUACUUAUUUACUUUGCUCAGUGAUGCAUUAAUACUAAGAGUAAAGACAAUAGUGAGAUCCACUUGGCUCCUGUCUUCAUGAGGUUUAUGGUUUGAUCAGUGCUGAUGUUGAGAGCGGCCUUCCACAGCUGUACUGUGAAUCUGAGUAGUCACUGAUGGAUGUUAGAUGUAUAGCAGGGUCACCGGGGGAGGAAAUAUUCAUGUAGGAGGUAGAGGACAACUGAUUGACAUAGAAUCGCCAUCUCUAAACUGAAAACCUGAAGUCCAAAAUGCUACAAAAUCUAACCUUUUCCAAAUACUGACAUGUCGUUAACAGCGGAAGAUUCUAUUCCUGACCUUCUGUGAUGAGUGACAGUCAAACAGCUAUAUCUUUAAGUAUAUUAUAAAUUUAAUUUCAGUUUAUGUGUAAACUAUUUGUGAAAUACAAGUGAAUAUUACAUUUAGGCUAAGGCCCUAUCCUCAAGAUAUUUUAUGCACUCAAAUAUUCC